GGCCAAAGAAUUAAAAAACAAAAAUUACCCACAACGAAGUUGUGUGGAUUUAUUCUUCAGACUCAUUUUGAAUGAGUUCCCGGGUCUAACCUAAAGGCCAGUAUGACCCAUAAUGAGCUCAGUCCAAAACCCAAAUGUUUCAUUUCCCUUCGCGGCCACCUGCCUGUCCUGAGAGAACACGGCGCUGCAUGCUCCGGCUCUGCGCAAUGGCCACUGAGAACAAGCCAAAGUUGGCUAACACCGCCAACACUAACAAGAGCAAGAAGAGGAAGCGACGGUAUCUCCCCCAAAAUAAGCCAGUAAAAAAAAGGGCUCGUACCCUUUGCGCCCGGGAGUUCAGGGCUACUUUAUGGGUUGUGAUGGUUGCAAAAAGCGCCAAGCCUCUCAUGAGGCUA
rnacentral:misc_RNA from 1 species